rnacentral:rRNA from 1 species
UACGGGGGGGGUAAGCGUUGUUCGGAAUUACUGGGCGUAAAGGGCGCGUAGGCGGCUUAUCAAGUCAGGCGUGAAAUUCCCGGGCUCAACCUGGGGGCUGCGCUUGAUACUGAUUGGCUUGAAUGCGGGAGAGGAUAGUGGAAUUCCCAGUGUAGAGGUGAAAUUCGUAGAUAUUGGGAAGAACACCGGUGGCGAAGGCGGCUAUCUGGCCCGUAAUUGACGCUGAGGCGCGAAAGCGUGGGGAGCAAACAGG